UACAGAGGGGGCGAGCGUUGUUCGGAAUUACUGGGCGUAAAGGGCGCGUAGGCGGCCCGCUAAGUCGAACGUGAAAUCCCCAGGCUCAACCUGGGAACUGCGUCCGAUACUGGCAGGCUUGAAUCCGGGAGAGGGAUGUGGAAUUCCAGGUGUAGCGGUGAAAUUCGUAGAUAUUCGCAAGAACACCAGUGGCGAAGGCGGCUCACUGGCCCGGUACUGACGCUGAGGUGCGAAAGCGUGGGGAGCAAACAGG
rnacentral:rRNA from 1 species